CUAUGGAAUGAUGAAUUCACUUAUCGGAAUUAUUAUGUCGACCAAAAUACAGACUACAAUUAUCUGACUAUUU
rfam:Arabis alpina cultivar Pajares chromosome 6, whole genome shotgun sequence.